rnacentral:rRNA from 1 species
GACGAACGCUGGCGGCGUGCUUAACACAUGCAAGUCGAACGGACUACUUUGCUUCGGUAAGGUGGUUAGUGGCGAACGGGAGAGUAACGCGUAGACAACCUACCUCUUAGAUGGGGACAACAUCGCGAAAGCGGUGCUAAUACCGAAUGAAGUGACUUUCCUGCAUGGGAGAGAUACUAAAGGUGGCCUCUAUUUAUAAGCUACCACUGAGAGAUGGGUCUGCGUCUGAUUAGCUAGUUGGCGGGGUAAUGGCCCACCAAGGCGACGAUCAGUAGCCGGUCUGAGAGGAUGAACGGCCACAUUGGGACUGAGACACGGCCCAAACUCCUACGGGAGGCAGCAGUGGGGAAUCUUCCGCAAUGGACGAAAGUCUGACGGAGCAACGCCGCGUGAGUGAAGAAGGUUUUCGGAUCGUAAAGCUCUGUUGUUUGAGACGAAUGUGCCUGUUUCAAAUAGGGAUAGGUAAUGACGGUAUUAAACGAGAAAGCCACGGCUAACUACGUGCCAGCCGCCGCCGUAA